CCUACGGGUGGCAGCAGUGGGGAAUAUUGCACAAUGGGGGAAACCCUGAUGCAGCGACGCCGCGUGAGUGAAGAAGUAAUUCGUUAUGUAAAGCUCUAUCAGCAGGGACGAAAAUGACGGUACCUGCGUAAGAAGCCCCGGCUAACUACGUGCCACCAGCGGCGGUAAUACGUAGGGGGCAAGCGUGAUCCGGCUUUACUGGGUGUAAGGGGAGCGUAGACGGCAGUGCAAGUCUGGAGGGAAAGGCGGGGGCUCAACCCCCGGACUGCUCUGGAAACUGUACGGCUGGAGUGCAGGAGAGGUAAGUGGAAUUCCUAGUGUAGCGGUGAAAUGCGUAGAUAUUAGGAGGAACACCAGUGGCGAAGGCGGCUUACUGGACUGUAACUGACGUUGAGGCACGAAAGCGUGGGGAGCAAACAGGAUUAGAUACCCUAGUAGUC
rnacentral:rRNA from 1 species